rnacentral:rRNA from 1 species
UUUUGCAUAUUUCAAAAAGCGGAGGAAAAGAAACCAACAGGGAUUGCCCUAGUAACGGCGAGUGAAGCGGCAACAGCUCAAAUUUGAAAUCUGGCUCUUUCAGAGUCCGAGUUGUAAUUUGCAGAGGGCGCUUUGGCUUUGGCAGCGGUCCAAGUUCCUUGGAACAGGACGUCACAGAGGGUGAGAAUCCCGUACGUGGUCGCUAGCUAUUGCCGUGUAAAGCCCCUUCGACGAGUCGAGUUGUUUGGGAAUGCAGCUCUAAAUGGGAGGUAAAUUUCUUCUAAAGCUAAAUAUUGGCCAGAGACCGAUAGCGCACAAGUAGAGUGAUCGAAAGAUGAAAAGCACUUUGGAAAGAGAGUCAAACAGCACGUGAAAUUGUUGAAAGGGAAGCGCUUGCAGCCAGACUUGCUUGCAGUUGCUCAUCCGGGCUUUUGCCCGGUGCACUCUUCUGCAGGCAGGCCAGCAUCAGUUUGGGCGGUGGGAUAAAGGUCUCUGUCACGUACCUUCCUUCGGGUUGGCCUUAUAGGGGAGACGCCAUACCACCAGCCUGGACUGAGGUCCGCGCAUCUGCUAGGAUGCUGGCGUAAUGGCUGUAAGCGGCCCGUCUUGAACAACCGGACCAAAA